rnacentral:rRNA from 1 species
AUUGAACGCUGGCGGCAGGCCUAACACAUGCAAGUCGAACGAGUGGCGGACGGGUGAGUAAUGUCUGGGACACUGCCUGAUGGAGGGGGAUAACUACUGGAAAAUGUAUAUAAUCCCGCAUUCCCUCAGAUGUCCCCAGAUGGGUUUAGCUAGUUGGUGGGGUAACGGCGCACCAAGGCGACGCUCCCUAGCUGGUCUGAGAGGAGGACCAGCCACACUGGAACUGAGACACGGUCCAGACUCCUACGGGAGGCAGCAGUGGGGAAUAUUGCACAAUGGGCGCAAGCCUGAUGCAGCCAUGCCGCGUGUAUGAAGAAGGCCUUCGGGUUGUAAAGUACUUUCAGCGGGGAGGCGUUACCCGCAGAAGAAGCACCGGCUAACUCCGUGCCAGCAGCCGCGGUAAUUC